GUUCAUCUGCGGCGUUGGUGACUGCCAAUAACGUUUUUUGACUAUGCCUUGUUCAAAAGGGAGCCAACCGCCGGGCGGCAGUAGACCGGGCUUGUACCCGGAAACUUUAAGCCACGGCACUAGGUACCCACCUGGUUUUUUUACCAGGUCAAAAACUGAGGUAAGACGGCGUUGCGGGGAGCCU
rnacentral:other from 1 species